CAUAAUGGGUCAGCAAGUUAAUAUUAGAUGCGAGAUAAAGUGAGUACUAAGUAAUGUNAUAAAUNCGAAUGGGUAUACAAUAAAGUUAAAAAUUAGAGAAAAACAAUUNCUGGAAAUACAUGANGCCAAAGGGAAAUCUUAAUCCUAGAUAAACCGAUUAUUAAAUAAUGAAUUAGUAUCUAAAAUUAGACCCGAAGCCUGGUGAUCUUACCAUGAUCAGGGUUAUAAAAGCCCGAACGGGUUAUCGUUGUAAAGAUAUCCGAAGAAUUG
rnacentral:rRNA from 1 species